AACGAACGCUGGCGGCAGGCCUAACACAAGCAAGUCGAGCGAAGCCUUCGGGCUUAGCGGCGGACGGGUGAGUAACGCGUGGGAACGUGCCCUUUGGUACGGAAUAGCCCCGGGAAACUGGGAGUAAUACCGCAUGUGGUCGAGAGACGACAGAUUUAUCGCUGAGGGAGCGGCCCGCGUUGGAUUAGGAAGGUGGGGAGGGAAUGGGUCACCAAGUCUACGACGCCUAGCUGGUCUGAGAGGAUGAUCAGCCACACUGGGACUGGGACACGGCCCAGACUCCUACGAGAGGCAGCAGUAAGGAAUAUUGGACAAUGGAGGAAACUCUGAUCCAGCCAUGCCGCGUGAGUGAUGAAGGCCGUCGGGUUGUAAAGCGCUUUCAGAUGUGAAGAUGAUGACGGUAGCAUCAGAAGAAGCUCCGGCUAAAUUCGUGCCAGCCGCCGCGGUAAGAC
rnacentral:rRNA from 1 species